rnacentral:rRNA from 1 species
GAUGAACGCUGGCGGCGUGCCUAAUACAUGCAAGUCGAGCGAACAGACGAGGAGCUUGCUCCUCUGACGUUAGCGGCGGACGGGUGAGUAACACGUGGAUAACCUACCUAUAAGACUGGGAUAACUUCGGGGAACCGGAGCUAAUACCGGAUAAUAUAUUGAACCGCAUGGUUCAAUAGUGAAGGACGGUUUUGCUGUCACUUAUAGAUGUAUCCGCGCCGCAUUAGCUAGUUGGUAAGGUAACGGCUUACCAAGGCGACGAUGCGUAGCCGACCUGAGAGGGUGAUCGGCCACACUGGAACUGAGACACGGUCCAGACUCCUACGGGAGGCAGAAGUAGGGAAUCUUCCGCAAUGGGCGAAAGCCUGACGGAGCAACGCCGCGUGAGUGAUGAAGGUCUUCGGAUCGUAAAACUCUGUUAUUAGGGAAGAACAAAUGUGUAAGUAACUAUGCACGUCUUGACGGUACCUAAUCAGAAAGCCACGGCUAACUACGUG